rnacentral:rRNA from 1 species
GACGAACGCUGGCGGCGUGCUUAACACAUGCAAGUCGAACGGAAAGGCCCUGCUUUUGUGGGGUGCUCGAGUGGCGAACGGGUGAGUAACACGUGAGUAACCUGCCCUUGACUUUGGGAUAACUUCAGGAAACUGGGGCUAAUACCGGAUAGGAGCUCCUGCUGCAUGGUGGGGGUUGGAAAGUUUCGGCGGUUGGGGAUGGACUCGCGGCUUAUCAGCUUGUUGGUGGGGUAGUGGCUUACCAAGGCUUUGACGGGUAGCCGGCCUGAGAGGGUGACCGGCCACAUUGGGACUGAGAUACGGCCCAGACUCCUACGGGAGGCAGCAGUGGGGAAUAUUGCACAAUGGGCGGAAGCCUGAUGCAGCAACGCCGCGUGCGGGAUGACGGCCUUCGGGUUGUAAACCGCUUUCGCCUGUGACGAAGCGUGAGUGACGGUAAUGGGUAAAGAAGCACCGGCUAACUACGUGCCAGCAGCCGCGGUGAUACGUAGGGUGCGAGCGUUGUCCGGAUUUAUUGGGCGUAAAGGGCUCGUAGGUGGUUGAUCGCGUCGGAAGUGUAAUCUUGGGGCUUAACCCUGAGCGUGCCUUCGAUACGGGUUGACUUGAGGAAGGUAGGGGAGAAUGGAAUUCCUGGUGGAGCGGUGGAAUGCGCAGAUAUCAGGAGGAACACCAGUGGCGAAGGCGGUUCUCUGGGCCUUUCCUGACGCUGAGGAGCGAAAGCGUGGGGAGCGAACAGGCUUAGAUACCCUGGUAGUCCACGCUGUAAACGGUGGGUACUAGGUGUGGGGUCCAUUCCACGGGUUCCGUGCCGUAGCUAACGCUUUAAGUACCCCGCCUGGGGAGUACGGCCGCAAGGCUAAAACUCAAAGGAAUUGACGGGGCCCCGCACAAGCGGCGGAGCAUGCGGAUUAAUUCGAUGCAACGCGUAGAACCUUACCUGGGUUUGACAUGGAUCGGGAGUGCUCAGAGAUGGGUGUGCCUCUUUUGGGGUCGGUUCACAGGUGGUGCAUGGCUGUCGUCAGCUCGUGUCGUGAGAUGUUGGGUUAAGUCCCGCAACGAGCGCAACCCUUGUUCACUGUUGCCAGCACGCUAUGGUGGGGACUCAGUGGAGACCGCCGGGGUCAACUCGGAGGAAGGUGGGGAUGACGUCAAGUCAUCAUGCCCCUUAUGUCCAGGGCUUCACGCAUGCUACAAUGGCUGGUACAGAGAGUGGCGAGCCUGUGAGGGUGAGCGAAUCUCGGAAAGCCGGUCUCAGUUCGGAUUGGGGUCUGCAACUCGACCUCAUGAAGUCGGAGUCGCUAGUAAUCGCAGAUCAGCAACGCUGCGGUGAAUACGUUCCCGGGGCU